rnacentral:rRNA from 1 species
GGGUUGUGAGGUUAAGCGACUAAGCGUACACGGUGGAUGCCCUGGCAGUCAGAGGCGAUGAAGGACGUGCUAAUCUGCGAUAAGCGUCGGUAAGGUGAUAUGAACCGUUAUAACCGGCGAUUUCCGAAUGGGGAAACCCAGUGUGAUUCGUCACACUAUCAUUAACUGAAUCCAUAGGUUAAUGAGGCGAACCGGGGGAACUGAAACAUCUAAGUACCCCGAGGAAAAGAAAUCAACCGAGAUUCCCCCAGUAGCGGCGAGCGAACGGGGAGGAGCCCAGAGCCUGAAUCAGUGUGUGUGUUAGUGGAAGCGUCUGGAAAGGCGCGCGAUACAGGGUGACAGCCCCGUACACAAAAAUGCACAUGCUGUGAGCUCGAUGAGUAGGGCGGGACACGUGGUAUCCUGUCUGAAUAUGGGGGGACCAUCCUCCAAGGCUAAAUACUCCUGACUGACCGAUAGUGAACCAGUACCGUGAGGGAAAGGCGAAAAGAACCCCGGCGAGGGGAGUGAAAAAGAACCUGAAACCGUGUACGUACAAGCAGUGGGAGCACAGAGCAAUCUGUGUGACUGCGUACCUUUUGUAUAAUGGGUCAGCGACUUAUAUUCUGUAGCAAGGUUAACCGAAUAGGGGAGCCGAAGGGAAACCGAGUCU